rnacentral:rRNA from 1 species
GACGAACGCUGGCGGCGUGCCUAAUACAUGCAAGUCGAACGAACCGCGACUAGGUGCUUGCACUUGGUCAAGGUGAGUGGCGAACGGGUGAGUAACACGUGGGUACCCUACCUCAUCGUGGGGGAUAACAGUCGGAAACGACUGCUAAUACCGCAUAGGACAUAGGAUCACAUGAUCCAGUGAGGAAAGGUGGCGCAAGCUAUCGCUAAGAGCUGGACCCGCGGUGCAUUAGCUAGUUGGUAGGGUAAAGGCCUACCAAGGCGAUGAUGCAUAGCCGACCUGAGAGGGUGAUCGGCCACAUUGGGACUGAGACACGGCCCAAACUCCUACGGGAGGCAGCAGUAGGGAAUCUUCCGCAAUGGACGCAAGUCUGACGGAGCAACGCCGCGGGAGUGAAGAAGGUCUUCGGAUCGUAAAGCUCUGUUGUUAGAGAAGAACAGCGCAUAGAGUAACUGUGAUGCGUGUGACGGUAUCUAACCAGAAAGCCACGGCUAACUACGUG